rnacentral:lncRNA from 1 species
AGUUCUGGAGGCUGGAAGUCCAAGAUCAAGGUGCUAUCAGGGUUGGUUUCGGCUGUGGCCUCUCUUCCUGGCUUGUAGACAGCUAUCUUCUCGCAGUGUCCUCACGUGGCCUCUUUGUGUGAAGUUAAAAAUGAACAGAUCAACCUUUUAUUCUUCUCUGAAAAAUAUAGUGAAAUUAGUAAUCAAGAAUGAUUUUCUGAAAUGAAAACAUCCAAACAGCACACUGUAAAGACAUUCAGGGGAAAAUAAAAUAGGUUUUGGCAAACAUCUAAUGACACAGAGCCACCAUUGCCAAUUUCACCACUGUCUUUCACCAAGUUGAUUCAUUUUGAACUGGCUCCAGCAAUCUACUCAGAGUUGACCUCAGAGCAAAAAAUUGAAGUGGGAAGCUGCUAAAGAAUCUGCUUGACUAAAACAAGGCAAUAAGCAAAAGGAAGUCAUAGCAUCCAGAAAAUGGGAUCCAUCAUGCACACAAAGAAAAGGCGAAGAGAAUUCCCAGGAUGUUCAGAACCCACCAAAAACAAGAGUCUGUUCCAGAUCAGAAGAGAGGGAAACACUCUGAAAAAGUCCCUCAAAGACAAAAUUAAACAGAGUUUAAAUGAUGUGCUUGACCACAAAAAAAGGCUUCUUGCUCU